rnacentral:rRNA from 1 species
CGUAGGUGGCAAGCGUUGUCCGGGAAUUAUUGGGCGUAAAGCGCGCGCAGGCGGUUUCUUAAGUCUGAUGUGAAAGCCCCCGGCUCAACCGGGGAGGGUCAUUGGAAACUGGGGAACUUGAGUGCAGAAGAGGAGAGUGGAAUUCCACGUGUAGCGGUGAAAUGCGUAGAGAUGUGGAGGAACACCAGUGGCGAAGGCGACUCUCUGGUCUGUAACUGACGCUGAGGCGCGAAAGCGUGGGGAGCGAACAGGAUU